UGGCUGCGAAAAGAGUUUUAAUUUUUUUAAGAGAACGCCGACAAUUCGCGUUCUCAGGCGACAGGCACAAAACGGAGAGAAACUAUGUUUGAA
rnacentral:ncRNA from 1 species